AUAAACACAACGAUGAACUUAUAUUAGGUGGAAGAUAGAUAUCA
rnacentral:guide_RNA from 1 species